GGCGUGGUGGCAGAGUGGUCUAAUGCGCAAGACUCGAAUCUAGUAUCCAGCAAAAUUCGGUGUUAUCUUGUCCCUUCGGGGGCGUCCGUUCGAAUCGGGCCCACGUCG